ACUCGAGCAAUUGAGGGCUGUGGUGUUAUUCUAGACUAUCGUCAACAUGAGAGAUACGCCCGGGAGGACACAUAUGAGAGGGGUGACACAAAGCUCACGGUGAGGGUAAUUAUAUUAUCUGGCUUGCAAGGAAAGCCUAAGUUAAUGACAGUUUUUUUACUAGCUGUAUACAAACAUAUAAACAGGGGUGAAAGAAUCCCCUACGGGCGUGGAGACAAGGUGGACUGCGACAUCGAUCUCGCGGGCACAGAGGAGGUGGAGGUGAGGUGGCUGGCCAGCUCGAAGUCACAACACUCGUUAAUCACGAUGGGCGCAGUGGGAUGAGCGGCGGUGC
rnacentral:lncRNA from 1 species